CCUACGGGUGGCAGCAGUGAGGAAUAUUGGUCAAUGGACGAGAGUCUGAACCAGCCAAGUAGCGUGAAGGAUGACUGCCCUAUGGGUUGUAAACUUCUUUUAUAUGGGAAUAAAAUGUUCCACGUGUGGGAUUUUGUAUGUACCAUAUGAAUAAGGAUCGGCUAACUCCGUGCCAGCAGCCGCGGUAAUACGGAGGAUCCGAGCGUUAUCCGGAUUUAUUGGGUUUAAAGGGAGCGUAGGUGGAUUGUUAAGUCAGUUGUGAAAGUUUGCGGCUCAACCGUAAAAUUGCAGUUGAAACUGGCAGUCUUGAGUACAGUAGAGGUGGGCGGAAUUCGUGGUGUAGCGGUGAAAUGCUUAGAUAUCACGAAGAACUCCGAUUGCGAAGGCAGUUCACUGGACUGCAACUGACACUGAGGCUCGAAGGUGUGGGUAUCAAACAGGAUUAGAUACCCUUGUAGUC
rnacentral:rRNA from 1 species